rnacentral:lncRNA from 1 species
CCAUCUCUUCAAGUUUUGUAGAAUUUUAUCCUGAUUAAAGAGGAAGAUCCAAAGUUUUCUGUCGUAAUUGCGCCCUAAAAGGCUCUAUGAAGGAAAUCCAAUAUCAAGGAAAAUUCUUGGAAAAGGGAUAACAAGGACUUGCCUAACCCUAUGAGUCCAGAUUCAAUAAAAAAAGAAGAAAAAAUCAAAAUCAAAAUCAAAAAGAAGAAAAAAAGAAAAAUAAAAAUCAAAGUCAAAAGUAAAAUAAAAAAGAAAAAAAUGAAAAUAAAAAAGGAAAAUAAAAAAGGAAAAAGAAAAGGAGAGGCCAAGACGAAAACCCGCAAAGGGCACUUUGACCAAAGAUGGAUUGUAGUUGAAAACCUGAAAAAGGGCAGCUCAAAUUUUGAGCAAAAUGGGGC